UGCAGUCGACGAUGAUGGGAGCUUGCUCCUGGAUUAGUGGCGAACGGGUGAGUAACACGUGAGUAACCUGCCCUUAACUCUGGGAUAAGCCUGGGAAACUGGGUCUAAUACCGGAUAUGACUCCUCAUCGCAUGGUGGGGGGUGGAAAGCUUUUUGUGGUUUUGGAUGGACUCGCGGCCUAUCAGCUUGUUGGUGAGGUAAUGGCUUACCAAGGCGACGACGGGUAGCCGGCCUGAGAGGGUGACCGGCCACACUGGGACUGAGACACGGCCCAGACUCCUACGGGAGGCAGCAGUGGGGAAUAUUGCACAAUGGGCGCAAGCCUGAUGCAGCGACGCCGCGUGAGGGAUGACGGCCUUCGGGUUGUAAACCUCUUUCAGUAGGGAAGAAGCGUAAGUGACGGUACCUGCAGAAGAAGCGCCGGCUAACUACGUGCCAGCAGCCGCGGUAAUACGUAGGGCGCAAGCGUUAUCCGGAAUUAUUGGGCGUAAAGAGCUCGUAGGCGGUUUGUCGCGUCUGCCGUGAAAGUCCGGGGCUCAACUCCGGAUCUGCGGUGGGUACGGGCAGACUAGAGUGAUGUAGGGGAGACUGGAAUUCCUGGUGUAGCGGUGAAAUGCGCAGAUAUCAGGAGGAACACCGAUGGCGAAGGCAGGUCUCUGGGCAUUAACUGACGCUGAGGAGCGAAAGCAUGGGGAGCGAACAGGAUUAGAUACCCUGGUAGUCCAUGCCGUAAACGUUGGGCACUAGGUGUGGGGGACAUUCCACGUUUUCCGCGCCGUAGCUAACGCAUUAAGUGCCCCGCCUGGGGAGUACGGCCGCAAGGCUAAAACUCAAAGGAAUUGACGGGGGCCC
rnacentral:rRNA from 1 species